AUGUCUUCCUCCAGCGCCGUCCAAAGCAAUCUCGGCCAGGUCACGGAGAAGCUCUCCUGGACGAACUACGUCAUGUGGCGAACUCAAGUUACGCCGCAGUUGAGGGGAGCUGGUCUCUUCGGCUACGUCGAUGGAACGAUGCCGGAACCCACCCGCCUCCUCGUCACCAAGGACAAGCACGGCAAGGAGUCGUACGAGCUCAAUCCUCUCCACCCCAUCUGGGUGAGGGAGGAUCAGCAGGUGCUCGGCUACCUCCUCAACAACCUCUCCAAAGAAGUGCUGAUCGCGGUGACCACGGUCACCACCGCGCAUGCCCUCUGGGCGGCGCUUGCAGGCAUGUUUUCUUCUCAAUCCUUGAGUCGUGUCAACAAUAUUCGCACUGCCUUGAACAGAAGGGCACCCAAUCGGUUGCUGCAUACUACGCUCAUAUGCGUGGCCUUGCCGAUGAACUCGCCGCGGCCGGCAAGCCCAUCCAGGACGAUGAGCUCAUCUCCUACCUGCUGCAUGGGCUGGAUAUGGACUACCAACCCCUCGUCUCCGCCCUCGACGCUCGUGUCACGCCGGUCUCCCUCGACGAGUUGUAUUCCAUGCUGA
rnacentral:rRNA from 1 species